UACGUAGGGGGCAAGCGUUGUCCGGAUUUAUUGGGCGUAAAGAGCGUGUAGGCGGCCUGACAGGUCUGCUGUGAAAACUCGAGGCUCAACCUCGAGAUGUCGGCGGAAACCGUCUGGCUAGAGUCCGGAAGAGGAGAGUGGAAUUCCUGGUGUAGCGGUGAAAUGCGCAGAUAUCGGGAGGAACACCGGUGGCGAAGGCGGUUCUCUGGGCCUGUACUGACGCUGAGGAGCGAAAGCGUGGGGAGCGAACAGG
rnacentral:rRNA from 1 species